UACAGAGGGGGCUAGCGUUAUUCGGAAUUAUUGGGCGUAAAGGGCGCGUAGGCGGCCACGCGUGUCUUUCGUGAAAUCCCUCGGCUUAACUGAGGACGUGCGGAAGAAACUGCGAGGCUCGAGUCCGGGAGAGGGGGGUGGAAUUCCCAGUGUAGAGGUGAAAUUCGUAGAUAUUAGGAAGAACACCGGUGGCGAAGGCGGCCCACUGGUCCGGUACUGACGCUGAGGUGCGAAAGCGUGGGGAGCGAACAGG
rnacentral:rRNA from 1 species